rnacentral:lncRNA from 1 species
AGAGGGAGGAGUUAAGGAGACAGACAGAGAGAGAGAGAGAUCUGAGGAGAAGAGGGAGAACCAAAAUGGAGGCUGACGUGGUGUUAUCAAAGUGGAGUGACCAGGGCUGACAGGUAUUCUGACAUCUGCUCCCUGAGAGGUGACGUGGGAAGUCCUGCACUGUGAGUCCAUUGAGUAGGACACACCCAGGCCUCUUCUUUUCUCCAGGAUAUGUGCAAGAUGAGAGCCAGCCAUCGUCUCCUGAUAGUGGAGAUUUGAUCUGAAGCAUUCAAAUAGGAAAUGAAUGCUCAGAGGAAGCUUCAAAUUUCUUUCUACUUGAAGAAGCUGAAUUGCAGAAGCUAUCUCUGUCCUGUUAAUCACCGGGUCCACAGUGAAACCAGCCAACUUCAGAGAAGACUCUUGUGCUGCGUGACCCCUGACUGUAACCAAGUGUCCUUCUCUCUGAGACGUUCCCUCGGAGCUUGUUCUCACAGCCCUCACCUCCAGUGACCUCCACGAACUUUUCCACACGAGGGGUUCUCUGCUUCCCUCCAUCUGAGCUGCGCAAUUCCACCAGGCCUUUUGCUCCUCUUCAGUCAGGUGCUUUGGAGGUAAUGAAGUCUUUCGGGGGAAAAAUAAACAAAGGAAAUGCACCCGGUUGAUGUCAAUGGACUUGUUUAACUAUUUAAGGCCACUGUCUCCAAGUGUAAGUGUGCUGCGGUGUGUUUUGUAAAGUAGCGCUUAUAAUCCACUGAGCUUUCCAAACAGCCCUCUUGCCUAUUAAGCCUGCAUUGAGAAGUGGGUUUAAUUUGCCAGAGUAGUUUUUUGUGAUAAUUACAGGACUUGCAGAUUAGCUUGAGUGACUUGGCAAGGUUCUGUAGCUAAUAAAAAAUCACACAGGAAAAAAAUUGUAACAUUCAAUUGCUUCAAGGUUCUUCACGAGAGAAACAUUAAACAAACCUGAUAGGCCAGUUUCCAGUCUGUGAAGGGACUUGGAGGCAAGCCGGGAGAGAGGGAGGAGAAAGAGAUCGCCAUGAUGGGGAAGAAGGAAGAGGAGACCUAAAGGCCAGCUGACAUCAGGACUUUGGGUCCCUAACCUGCAACUCAGCACUCAGUCCAUCAUGGGCUUUGCUAGUCUCUGUGACUUCUCCAGGGCAGGAAAGUGACAGGUUUCUGCGCAAGGGAGCCCGAGGUACCUGGUUCAGGAUGGAGAGGGCACUUGAGAGGCGUCAAAAGCAAGCACAGUUAGAGGACAUCAGCGAUGUUAAAACCCCACGAGGGUCAACAGUAGCCCAGGCAAAAUAAAGGAGCCUGAAGUGGAAAAACAGAAAUGGAACAAGACGUUUGUUCUGGAGCACGUGAGAUUGUCCUUCUAAGACAUUUCCAGAAGUAUUCAAAGGAAGAUUUAAUGGGAAAUCAUUAUGCAAAAGAGUCAGUAAUAUAUUUUAGUUUCAAAAAGUACGGAGCGUGACGCCUGUCAAUUAUACCUUCUGCAAAGGUGAGUGGCGGUUGUCCUUGCUGUUCCAAAAUGCAAAGAGAAACAAACAAACAAACAAACAAGCAAACCAGCUACUCCUAUUCCGCACUCCAAACACCAAGCAGAAAUGCUUCUGGGACAAACUGAGCUUCAUUCUUUAUGAAAAUGAAAACACUUCUUUCUGUGCACUAGGAAAAUGUUCUGCCUCUGAGCUGCAAAACCAGCACCAAACUUGAAAAGUUUGUGCAUCAAAGGAAAAAGGCAACCUACAGGAUGGGGGAGAAUAUUUGCAGGACACAUGUCCUGGAAGGAAUACAUAUUUAGACUGAAUAAAAUGAGUAAGAGGAGGGAUAGGGAGUUCGUGUUCAAUGUUGAGAGCUUGGGACAGUUGAGAAAACGCUCCGGAGUGUUCUGCAGAUGAAUGAUGGUGACGACUGCAUCAGUGUGAAUGUCCUUAACGCCGUCAAAAAUUGGUUAUAAUGGCAAAUUUUAUGCUACAUAUGUUUUACUACAAUAAAAAUGCCAGGAAAAUCUAACUGCUCCAAAUCCUGAAUUUAUUAACCCAAUAAAUUAGGAGAUGGUUAUUGACCUAUAAAUGGAUUUGUCAAUUUUUAAAAUGAUUUCCUUUAAAUUGAAUUCUUUCCUAGAGCUUUAUUGUCUCUUCACAAACCAUUAAACACUUGUUAAAGUGUUCAGAGAGGGCUGAGAUGGAGGAGGAAGUGAAAACCAAACAAACAGAUGAGGGACCUUCCCCAAAUGAUGUCUGCUAACAGGCUUCUUGGGUAUUCUAUUUAUAUAGAUUUUACAAGUGUUUUAUUUGAGAGGAAAAAUCCCUAGACCUUACAUAGUACAAUGAACUUCUUAUGCCUGUCAGCUAGAUUUAUUAAUUUUUAACGAGGUGUAUUACUUUUAAAAGCUAUCUAUUUACUAUUGGGGGAGGGAGAAGGACAAAGGACAUCUUGCAGAAGUCUGGUCUCUCCUGCUAUGUGGGUUCUGGAGAUAGGAAAUCAGGCAGGUUGUCAGGCCUAGAAGCAAAGGCCUGUCUGCACUGAGCCAUCUUACUUGUCUUAUUUUGUUACUUUUGAUGACCUAUUUUAGACAUCACUAUUCUAUAGCCCUAAGUAUAACUUCAAGUAUGUAUCUUCCACAAUGACUUUAUGACCAUGAAAUCAAUUCAAGAAAUUUAACAUGUAUGCAGUUCUAUCCAGCGUACAUACAGAUUUCUCAUCCCCCCUUUUACUGUAGUUUAUAGAAAAAGCAAUUCUCUUCCAUAUCUAGAGUUUGACAAGGAAUAUGCAUUGCAUUUGGUUUCUGUGUUCUUUAAUCUCUUGUUGUACAGAACUUCAACCUUUCAUGACAGGUUGAACAAUUUUGGAUCAUACAGGCUGUCAUGGUUUGAAUAUGUUUGGCCCAGGGAGUGGUACUGUUAGGGGUGUGGUCUUCUUGGAAUAGGUGUGUCACCGUGGGCGUGGGCUUUAAGACCCUCAUCCUUAGCUUCUGGAAGUCAGUCUUCCACUAGCAACCUUCAGAUGAAGAUGUAGAACUCUCACCAUCUCCUGCACUAUACCUGCCUGGAUAUCGCCAUGUUCCUGCCUUGAUGAUUAUGGACUGAACCUCUGAACCUGUAAGCCAGCCCCAAUUAAAUUUGUCCUUAUAAGAGUUACCUUGGUCAUGGUGUCUGUUCACAGCAGUAAAACCCUAACUAAGACACAGGCCAAUUACAGAAUGUCUCUUUUUGGUGUGUGCAGUGUUAAAGUUUGAAGCACAAGCCUAAUGCUUGUUAGACAAGCACUCUACCGCUGCUCUACAUCAGCAGCUCAGUGUGCCUCUUGUCUUGAUGGGCUCAUUGUUUUUUAUGACCCAGUGCAUUGGGGUGAGCAGCUCACACAGGUACGAAGGGGUCCCUCUCAGAGCUUAACAUCAGGGAACUCAAUGUUGGUUUGUCUGUUCUAUUUCAGCUGAGCUAGUAUCUGGCAGUUCCCCACAACCCCCAUCAAGUUACCACUUUUUUCUUUGUAAUUGUAAUUUGCAAAGAAAUAUUUGCAAGAUUAAGUAAUAGACUACACAACGUGUUUUAGCUUCCACUGAGCAUUCAGCCUGAACUGUUUUAUAAAGUUAUGAAAUGAUAGAUUUCCAACUUAAUAAUUAUUUUAAAGACUUAUUUUAUUUUUAGUUCUGCAUGUAUGCCUGUGUGUGCACGUGUGUACCUAUGUAUCUGUAUGGUUAUGUGCACAUGAAUGCAGAUGUCCAAGGAGAAGAGGCCAGACACAUUGGAUCCCUGGUGCUCAAGUGGGAGGUGGCUGUCAGCUGCUGUAGGAAGGUGAUGGGAACUCAGCUUGAGUCCUUUGCAAGAACAGCAUGAGCUCUUAAACACAGAGCCACAUCUUCAGUCCCUCUCUUAUUUUUUUAAAAAUUAUUCUCUCUCUGUGUAUGUGUGUGUAUACAGAGGUCAGAGGAUCAUUUUUGUAAAAUUAGUUCUCUCUACCUUUUUUUGUGGGCUCUGGGGACUAAACUCAAGUUGUUGGGAUUUUGUGACAAGUGCUGUAUCCACUGAGCCCUCUCACAUGCCCUUAAAUGUUAUUUUAAAUAAUAGCAAAUGAGUACGUUCAAGCAUACGAGAAUAAGCAUGUCCUAUUGAUUUGAAUAUGCAAAAGUAUGCCAAUUUUUUAAAUCUCUAUUACCAAGUGGACAAGUAUUCCAUUUUAUCUCCAAAAGUAAAGAUUUCUUUUAGAUACAGUCAUGUGGAUUAUACAACUUGACUGAAGCCAUGUCUCCAAGAUACAUACCUAGAGGGUAAAGGGAAUGCUUUAAAGGAGCGUGAUUAUGAAUAUCCAAGCUGAAAAUAAACACUAAUUACUAACAAAAAGGAUUACUGAGAAAAAUAUGGGUUGGUUUUCAGUACUUGACUCUGUAAAGUUAUUUCUUUUCUUAUUUAGUUUUUAUUCAUAAUCAUAAACUUAACUUUGCCAUCCAGCUAGACUUGAAGGGGAAUGAGGAAAAUAUGGAACCCAAAGAACUUGAGCAGAGAUUACAGGGUAUUUCAAGCAGAUGGGGUAGGGAUGCUCUCCUGCGCUACAGAAGGAAUGGUUGGAUGGGUAAAAUGCCUGCAAGUCAAAAGAAAUUAGAGUUAUCCACAGUCGGAAAUGGUCUUGCUGGUCUUUCCAUUCCUGGACCCAAAACACUCCAUGGCUUCCACAAUGUUCAUGCCUUCUUUCACCUUCCCAGACACCACAUGCUUGCCAUCCAGCCACUUAGUCUUGGCAGUGCAGAUAAAAAACUGGGAACCGUUUGUGUUGGUCCAGUAUUUGCCAUGGACAAGAUGCCAGGACCUGUAUGCUUCAGGAUGAAGAUCUCAUCCUCAAAUUUCUCUCCAUAGAUGGAUCUGCCGCCAGUGCCAUUAUGGCAUGUAAAGUCACCACCCUGGCACAUGAAUCCUGGAAUAAUUCUGUGAAAGGAGGAACCCUUCUAGUAAAAUCCUUUCUCUCCAGUGCUCAGAGCAUGAAAGUUUCCCGCUGUCUUUGGAACUUUGUCUGCAAACAGCUGGAAGGAGACUCUUCAAGGGCUCGUCAUCGGCCGUGAUGUCAGAGAACACGGUGGGGUCGACUGUGGCUACAGCAAGAGGACCAACGGUACUGUUGCUCUAGCUACAGGAAUAAUCCUGGGCAGCACUUGUUGACCUUGGUCACUGUCAAGGGAAGAUCGGCUGUUCCCACUGAGGGCAUCUUGAUGGAUUAAGGUGAUCAGCUGAUCAAUGUGAGGGGACAGAUGGGAGCUAGGAACUGUCUCGGUACUGAGUCAUUUUUCAUCUAAUGUGCAAGAAACCCAAAGAGCACAUCAAACAGCGAACUACGCCUAAGCUAUCCAUGUUUCUCCUGCUUCUUCUGAGAGGGUGAUUUACACGUAGCUCAACACUCGAGUGUUGCAGUAUCGAGUGACUGCAACCAAACAAUGGAACAUGCAUCGUGCCUGUUGACAGAGCCUGCAGUUGGCUUGGAACCGGGACCAUGCUGCAUUCGACAUCGUUCCUGGUGGCUGACUUGUUCCCAUAGAAUUAAAUGCUAGGCAUCCAGAAGCUGACUGUGCAUCUGAUGGGCUCACUAACAUUCAGGAACAGGUUGGCCUCAGACUUCAUCAAUGGAAAG